rnacentral:rRNA from 1 species
UACGGAGGGGGCUAGCGUUGUUCGGAAUUACUGGGCGUAAAGCGCGCGUAGGCGGCUUUGCAAGUUAGAGGUGAAAGCCCGAAGCUCAACUUCGGAAUUGCCUUUAAAACUGCGAGGCUAGAAUUGUGGAGAGGUAAGUGGAAUUCCGAGUGUAGAGGUGAAAUUCGUAGAUAUUCGGAGGAACACCAGUGGCGAAGGCGACUUACUGGACACAUAUUGACGCUGAGGUGCGAAAGCGUGGGGAGCAAACAGG